rnacentral:tRNA from 1 species
GCCGGUCAUAGCUCAAUUGGUAGAGCGGCUGCCUUGUAAGCAGCAGGUUCCGGGUUCGAGGCCCGGUGGCGGCU